GGAUUAGAUACCCGGGUAGUCCUAGGUGUAAACGCUGUGGACUUGGUGUCGGGGACUCUCAGCGAGUUCUCGGUGCCGGAGUGAAGAUGUUAAGUCCACUGCCUGGGGAGUACGGUCGCAAGGCUGAAACUUAAAGGAAUUGGCGGGGGAGCACCGCAACGAGAGGAGCGUGCGGUUUAAUUGGAUUCAACGCCGGAAAACUCACCAGAGCCGACUGUUAAAUGAAGACCAGCGUGAUGAGCUUGUCGGAUUAUCAGAGAGGUAGUGCAUGGCCGUCGUCAGUUCGUACCGUAAGGCGUUCUGUUAAGUCAGAUAACGAACGAGACCCCCAUCGCUAUUUGCUACCCAUCUCUCCGGAGAUGGCGCACUAUAGCGAGACCGCUGGCGUUAAGUCAGAGGAAGGCGGGGGCAACGGUAGGUCAGUAUGCUCCGAAUGCUCUGGGCUACACGCGCGCUACAAAGGGCGGGACAAUGGGCAGCAACAUCGAGAGAUGACGCUAUCCCGAAACCCGUUCGUAGUUCGGAUCGAGGGCUGUAAUUCGCCCUCGUGAAGCUGGAUUUCGUAGUAAUCGCGCCUCAAAAUGGCGCGGUGAAUAUGCCCCUGCUCCUUGCACACACCGCCCGUCAAACCAUCUUAGUUUGGGGUGGGUGAGGCUGCCUUUACAUGGGGUAUUCGAGCCUGCCUUAGACAAGGAGGGUUAAGUCGUAACAAGGUAUCUGUAGGGGAACCUG
rnacentral:rRNA from 1 species